CCGGACUGACUGCUAUCGGAUUGGUACUAAGCCAUGCGAGUCAUUGUAGCAAUACAAGGCGGACGGCUCAGUAACACGUAGUCAACNUAACUCGUGGACGUGGAUAACCUCGGGAAACUGAGAAUAAACCACGAUAGAUCAUAGUGCCUGGAAUGGCUUAUGGUCCAAACAGUUUACUGCCAUGGGAUGGGACUGCGGCCUAUCAGCUUGUUGGUGAGGUAAUGGCCCACCAAGGCGACUACAGGUACGGGCUCUGAGAGGAGAAGCCCGGAGAUGGGUACUGAGACACGGACCCAGGCCCUAUGGGGCGCAGCAGGCGAGAAACCUUAGCAAUGUGCGAAAGCACGACUGGGUCAGUCCGAGUGAUUCCUGAUAAAGGAGUCUUUUGCUUGUCCUAAAAGCACAGGUGAAUAAGGGGUGGGCAAGUCUGGUGUCAGCCGCCGCGGUAAUACCAGCACCUCGAGUGGUCAGGACGUUUAUUGGGCCUAAAGCAUCCGUAGCCGGCUCUGCAAGUCUUCGGUUAAAUCCACCUGCUCAACAGAUGGGCCGCUGGAGAUACUACAGAGCUAGGGAGUGGGAGAGGCAGACGGUAUUCAGUGGGUAGGGGUAAAAUCCUCUGAUCCAUUGAGGACCACCAGUGGCGAAGGCGGUCUGCCAGAACACGUUCGACGGUGAGGGAUGAAAGCUGGGGGAGCAAACCGGAUUAGAUACCCGGGUAGUCCCAGCUGUAAACGAUGCAAACUCGGUGAUGCAUUGGCUUAUGGCCAAUGCAGUGCCGCAGGGAAGCCGUUAAGUUUGCCGCCUGGGAAGUACGGACGCAAGUCUGAAACUUAAAGGAAUUGGCGGGGGAGCACCACAAGGGGUGAAGCCUGCGGUUCAAUUGGAGUCAACGCCGG
rnacentral:rRNA from 1 species